rnacentral:snRNA from 1 species
GUGCUUGCUUUGGCAGUACAGAGACUAAACUUGGAAUAAGAGAAGAUUAGCAUGGCCCCUGUGCAAGGAUAACAUGCAAAUUCUUUUUUUUUUUUUUU